rnacentral:rRNA from 1 species
GACAUGACUCUCGGCAAUGGAUAUCUCGGCUCUCGCAUCGAUGAAGAGCGCAGCGAAUUGCGAUACGUGGUGCGAAUUGCAGAAUCCCGCGAAC